CCUACGGGAGGCUGCAGUCGAGAAUCUUCGGCAAUGGGCGCAAGCCUGACCGAGCGACGCCGCGUGUGGGAUGAAGGCCUUCGGGUUGUAAACCACUGUCGGAGGGGAGGCCUAACCUCGGAGGAAGGACGGGCUAAGUUCGUGCCAGCAGCCGCGGUAAGACGAACCGUCCGAACGUUAUUCGGAAUUACUGGGCUUAAAGGGUGCGUAGGCGGCGGAGAAAGUAGGGUGUGAAAUCCCUCGGCUUAACCGAGGAACUGCGCUCUAAACUACUUUGCUCGAGGGAGAUAGAGGUGAGCGGAACUUAGGGUGGAGCGGUGAAAUGCGUUGAUAUCCUAAGGAACACCGGUGGCGAAAGCGGCUCACUGGAUCUCUCUGACGCUGAGGCACGAAAGCUAGGGUAGCGAACGGGAUUAGAUACCCUUGUAGUC
rnacentral:rRNA from 1 species